rnacentral:rRNA from 1 species
AUGAGUUUGAUUAGAUUUAGAAGAGUUUUGUGGGGAGACACGGCUGAAAUGUGGUAUGAACUCAAAAAUCUUUGCAGUAAAGUAGUUUUAAAUGAUCAAGAGGAUAGAUGUAGCUGGUUACUUACUAAAUCUGGUAGAUUCACUGUUAGAUCUUUGUACCUUGCUUUAAAAACAUAUCAGGCUGCCUGGCCUCAUAGGAAACUGUGGCAGGCGAGGAUACCGCUGAAAGUUAAAGUUUUCCUGUGA